GUGCUCACUUCGGCAGCACAUAUACUAAAAUUGGAAUGAUACAGAAAAGAUCAGCAUGGCCCCUGCGCAAGGAUGACAUGCAAAUUCAUGACGCGUUCCAUAGUUUU
rnacentral:snRNA from 1 species